UGAAAAUUCAGUCAAAUGCCAGUAUUUUCAUUCAUUUGCGUUCAAAUCACUUGAAAUUUACAGUGUGUCAGCUUUUUCCGAUACCUGUAUAGAGUUUAACAAACUUUGUAUCAGGCAAAAACGAGAAUAUGAGAACCCCGGAGAAUACGAGAAAAUGGGAUACUGUGAGUGUAUGAAUAUCCGUUAAACAUGUGCGUCACUGGUAAUUUGUUUACCUCGGGGAAUAUGUCUGUGGAAAGUUCUAGCCCGUUAUAUAUUAACUUUAGUUUUUGAUAAUAUUAUGAUAUAUAUUUAAAGGAUAUUGUCCUAACAGGUUUUAUGGAACGCUACAAAUAUCUUACAUUAUGUUAUCAUGAAGUAUCCCUAGAGCACAGGUGGAAGUAAUGUACCUAGGAUACAUUAUGGGUACAUGAACCAUACACACUUAAAUAUAUUACAAUGGUGAUGUUUCCUGAGAAAGAUGCCAAAAGGUCAUUUUGAUUUUUUUCCGUCUGAGCCAUUAACAGUAUUUGACAUGUGCAUUGUUUCCAAGUCCGCAUAUUUAAAAAUAAGUAUUUCCUUACCAAUGAUUGACAGUGUAUAGUCUUUUUUUAGAUAAAUCUUACUUCAAUGUCCAGUUGCAAACAGUUUACGCACAACAAGCGAGCAAAAGCGUACAAAGCGGUAGUUUUCUCACGAUCCGAAUCAUACAUUUUUCCCUAAAAAUACAUCAAGCACAUCAUGCAAAUAAAAAAUAACGCUACAAACGGCGGUCCGAACAGGCUAAAUGCAAACUAACAGGACUAAAACCUAGGUUCAAUUCUACUUAUUUACCUUACAUUUGGGUUAGACAGAUUUUAUCGCUAUGUAAAAAAACUGUCCCCGCCUUCUUUUUUAACAAGCUCUAAAACUCUUUGUAAUAUUUCACAGUUGUUAUUCGCAUUAUUAAAAUGGCUACAGGUACUGUACAUAUCGUUUAUUGAACAUAUCUGCAUUGUACUUGACAGUAACUGUCGUCAAAAUGGCUGUUUGGUUUAUGUAAAUGCAGUAUAGUUCCACACAGAUAUGAUAUCUUAAUGUCUCAAUGUAAGUGAAUAACCUGUAAUUCUAAAAUACUAGUAUGAUAAAAUAUUUUCAGAUGUAUAUGACUUUUAAGACAUGAAGCACUGCAAAAGGCAGAUCUUUUUUGGUAAUAUAUACGCAAACCUCCUUUUCAACAAGCUUUCCUGUAAUAUUUCACAGUUGUUAUUCAUAUGAUUAAAUGGCUACAGAUACUGUACAUAUUGGACAACAGUACUGACAACUAGUGCAGCAGGAAAUAUCCAUUGCAAAGAAUGUAGUGUCAUGUCUUUAGCCGUACCGACAAUGUAAAAAGACACAUAGGAGAAAAACAUAAAAUUUGAGGGGGCCAAAAAAGGAUACUUGAUAGCACCGAAAAUACAUAUACUGCGAAACGUUUACGAAAAGAAGAUGAUCCUCGCAAGUUUUUCACUAUUUAAAAGAUCAGGGACAGCUACUUCUUAUAAAAUAAACUUCAAAGACAUUGAUAUAACUAAUAAUGUAAUUACACUGAAGAUAAUGUUUUCGGUCAUACUUGAAGAUUUAACAAAGGAAGUUUAGAAAAUGAAUUUUAUAAGACUUGUCGUACAGAUCCCUUCAUUGGAUUUACGAUUUUCAUGCCAUUCAUAACGUUACCCGAAUUGAUACCAGAGCGGUUCAUGUCUUAAACUGAGCGAGUGUUUCAAUCGUGAUUGACAAAUCCCUACUCUUUGAAGUGACUCAUGUACAUAUGCCGAAUGGUGGAGCUGGAAAGAGGUGUAUAUAUGUCAACUCUGACAAAUUUCUGUUGGAAAAACUGUGCUUGAUACGUAUUCAAAAUGAUGAUGAUAUGCAUUCUGCGAGGGCUAUUAUAACAGCAACAGCGAAAAUAGAUCAACAAGGAAAGUGGGAAAGCAUUAGAAAAGGAUAGGAGCCACUAGGGCAAAUGACCAGACAACUCCACAAGGAUGCUAAUGCUCUCCCUGGAAAAUGUGGCAUUGAAGAUGUAAAUAGGUUCCAAGGAAUGUUUGUAGAUUAUCAAAAACAGGCUGUGUCAAAAGAACACUUUAAUGGUAUCAUAUAUAAAGGCACGGAAGCUGAUAAGAAGACAUUAUCAUACUACCAUGGCAAUACGAUGCCAUAACUAGCAUGGUUGCCUUCUUUUUCCAGAAGCUGUUAUAGCAUUAAGUUUAACAAAGGAGGAGACUACAAGUAAAAAUAUCUAUCACUCGUGUCAUGUGGAGAAGAAUGGAUAGAAUGCUAGGCGUGUUAUAGGUUAUUCCGCAGUCAAGAGUGUUUCAAACUUCAUAAGCAGUCGACUGCAAAUGGGAACUCCACUUGGAACUUUAUAUAUCGUUGUUAGGAUUGCGGUAGAAAAAUAAGCAAGAAAAUGAGUAAGAAGUUACGUAUAUUGCAAAAUGUGCAAAGAUAUUUUUUCUGAUACUCAUCAAUGCUACAUGUUGCCAGAGAACAUAGAUUUGGACGAAGAACCAAUGUUAAUCGAAGAACAGAUUAAUGACGAGGUUGAAAAUGCCAAAAUAUUUAAAUUUAUUAAUUUCGAAUGUACACAGGAUCAUCUGGGUCAGUGUGACACAGGCUUUAAUCCAGUUAUAUUUGGAAAGUGUCUAAAUUGUUCGAAGUCAAAUUGUGGUAGUUAUGAACAUAAACCCAUUUUUUUGUGUGUGGCACAUACGGUAUGCACUAUUUUUAUGGACAAAAGCGAUAUGGAAUGCGAAACCUGCGGGUUGCACGAAUCCGUUUUCAGCGGCGAGACAACUUUAAAAGACUUCUGUGAAUGGUCUUUUCUGGGGACAAUUUCGAUUCUACUAUUAGUUAUAAAGGUUUUUGACGGGAUAUACGGUGGGCAUAUAGCCUGACUGUGAUUCACAUAACCCGAGGCGAGGCUAUAUGCCCACCGUAUAUCCCGUCAGAAACCUUUAUAACGAAUUUAUAAUACUGCAAAUUUGCGUAUUUGGUCUCAAUAGCAACGAAUUCCCUUAGUUUGACAAAUAUUACUAUUUUUGCAAUUCCCCACUUGGUGCCUCAUUCCGCCCCUUGUUUUUCGUACGUUUUCGUUUGAGACGCGGAAACAUACGAAGAUAACGGUGGGUUUGCAUUUUUUUUGAUUGCGGAAGAAAUUGGACUUACAAAUGGAAUUAUAAAUGUUUUAAGGAAAUUUAAAGCUAGUUUCAAGUUUCUCGAGUAAGAACUUGGACUGGAGUAAAGGAUAACUGAAGUAAAACUUGCAUAUUCGUUGAAUCUUAUAUCUCAGCUGUUCAGCCUCGGGUCACGUGUACUUUUAGCCAGAACACGGAAGUAGAGUGAAAUUAUAUAUCAUGAUGUAUAUAUAACGUGGAAAUGUAGGAAAAAUCAAAUGUUAGAUGUUUAGUCAUCUAAGUGCAAUCAGAUGAUGUUAUUCAACUUGCUGUGGCUGCAUUGAAGUAGAAGUCAUUUCAGAAACAGAAUCCAGGAAUCACAAGAGAAAUGUAUGUAUAGCCACUGAUGAUGAUACCAUCUGGCCAAUCACUGCCAAAGAAUAACCUAUUCACAGAAAUAUGACACCUUUCACACAUAUGGAUCGAAUGGAACAUUUUUGCCAAGACGCUACAUAAACUCUGACACCGAGAAUAUGGCACCUUUCACACAUAUGGAACGGAACAUUUUUGCCAAGAUGCAACAUAAACUCUGACACCGACCGUUCAUUACAACCAGUAGGACAAUAAUCAUUGAAUAAUGGUAACAUAAAUUACACCAUGUUAAAAACUCUUGUCUUCGGUAUUGCUGCAACCGGUCAGAUUUUGGAUUUAAUAAAUGUAUUUCAUGAAGUUACUUACAGGACAGUAACUAUUGUCAAAUUAUAAACAAAAUAGAAGAUACAAGAAACUGUGAUAUAUGACAUAAGCCCUGCUAAGUCAUUACUAAGUCUUGUCAACAAAUAUAUUUAUUGCUUUUGACUUUUUGAUUGGAUUUUUGUCGAAAAAAUAUACAUAAUUUCUGCAGCAGAGCCUGGACUCGCGCACUAUUAUUCUGAGAAAGAACAAAUUCAUAUUUCUGGAUGUGAAGCUUAUUUUCAUUACAUACACAUAGUUAGAUCUAUUCUUAGAAUUAUUCUGUAGAUGAAAUAAAAUAUUGAUGUUAAAAGAUCGAAACAGUGAUGUUACAAAUGACGUCACGUACCAAAUACGAAAAUUGCAUGUCAGUACAGUAAAACCUGCAUAAGCGGUCACCUCUAAUUAGCAGCCAACCUGUCUUAAGCAGCCUGUUCUCAUUUCCCAAAAUUGUCAUUUAUUCUACAAAUUACCUGCAUAACGCAGCCGCCUGCUGUAAACGGCCACUUUUUCUCACUCCCUUGGCUGGCUGCUUAAGACAGAUUUUACUGUAUGGAAAAAUGUUGAUGUUAAUUUGCUCGUGCCACUUGGAGGAGUAAAAAUAUGAGUAUGUAAUUCAGGUAUUGAUGUUUUCAAGCUUCAGUUUCAUUUGUCGGUUUGUAAUUUCUUUACUUUUCAAAUAUUACAGAUCAUUCUAAAAUUCUUGUCAAUCUUGAGUUGAGGUAGUAGGAACUUUUAUUCCGGAUUUCAGAAUUUAAACACUUUUAGACUGGUGUAUCCAAUGCCUGGCUUAUUUUCAUGUUGAAUAAUUCUAUACAGAUACCGGGUAUUUAUGUCGGAACAAUGCCAAAUUACCUGACGAUAUAUAAUCACACGGAAAUGGCUGUAAUUCCGUGUGUACUACAUUAAGUUAAUGAUAUAUCUUAAAACAUUUAUUACUAUUGUGACACGGUAGUAAAUGAUAAUGAUGAUUAUUGUAACAGUUGUUUGAACUUCUUGUAAAACUAAUUAUUAGUUUUUAUUAUUGAUUUAUUUGAAAUUUACAACAUUUACGCCGAGCACUAGAAUACACCUCGCGGCUAGUCAAAAUAAUUUGACGUUCAGAUUGUUUAAAUUUGUGACGGGGCAAUCUAAAUGUCAAAACUUCGAAGGACCAAAAUAGGUGUGUCAAAAUAAUGGAAGAUAAAUCACAGUCAUGUAAAGUUAUUGCUUUUAUCUUUUGCGCAUAUUGGCCCAACUAGACACGGUAAACGUUAAUCAUGUACAGUACAUACAUAAGUUUAAAUCACCAGAAAAUUUGUAAUUUUGGAUAUAAGGCCCCUAUUUGAUAAUUUUUACAUAAAUAAAUGAGGAAUUGAAUCCCCUUUCGAUACAUGUAAGUUUUAUUUGAAUUUAUGGCCAAUUCGUGAAAUAAUCAGCAUUUGAACCUAUUGCAUGUAAAGCGUCGACAGUGAUGAAAAUUGCUUCCACUAUUUUGUUAUUUUCGAGUGUUUGACGCGAGUGGGGAUAUUGCCCAUAUGAAAAAAUUAUCUCAAUAUUUCCUAGGAUCGCGUCAAAUUUGUUGGACUAACCUCGCGGCAAGUGCUGGUUUGACCACUAUUCUGUUGAAUUUAUUUUGUAUUUUAAAUUCGUUUUUAAAGAAAACUCCUGUUUAACUUUUUUUGCUGUUGUAUUGAUUUUUUUUUUGUUGUCAAUGUUAUUUACUCCAAUGAAAUUUGUUUACUGUACUGUAAGUUAUUGUUUAUUAGAAAUAAAUUUAUGAAGUGUAACCAUUUAGUUAUUAUGCCCCCCUUCGAAGAAGGAGGGGUACAUUGUUUUGCAGAUGUCGGUCGAUCUGUCGGUCGGUCGAUCGGUCGGUCUUUAUGUAGACCAAUCUGUUUCCGGAUGAUAACUCAAAAACGCUUGGGCCUAGAACCAUGAAAGUUAAUAGGAAGGUUUGACCCCUAUUGAUUUUGAGAUCUGUAUGUCAAAGGUCAGGGUCACAGUGACCCUGAACAGUUAAAUGGUUUCCAGAUGUUAACUCAAGAACGCUCGGGCCUAGGAUCAUGAAAGUUGAUAGAGAGGUUGAUCAUGACCAGCAAAUGAUCCCUAUUGAUUUUGAGGUCAGUAUGUCAAAGCUCAAGGACACAGUGACCCGGAACAGUUAAACGGUUUCCGGAUGAUAACUCAAGAUUGCUUGGGUCUAGGAUCGUGAAAGUUGAAAGGAAGGUUUGUCAUGACCAGCAGAUGACCCCAAUUGAUUUUGAGGUCAGUAGGUCAAAGGUCAAGGUCACAGUGACCAAGAACAGUAAAACGGUUUCCGGGCGAUAUCUCAAGAACGCUUGAGCCUAGGAUCAGGAAAAUUGAUAGGCAGAUUGAUCAUGACCAGCAGAUGAUCCCUAUUAAUUUUGAGAUCAUUUGGUCAAAGUUCAAGGUCAGAUUGGCCAGUUACAGUUAAACAGUUUCUGGAUGAUAACUUGAGAACGCUUGGGCCAAGGGUCAUGAAAGAUGAUACAUAGGUUCAUCAUAACCAGCAGAUGACCUCUAUUGAUUUUAAGGUCAGUAGGUCAAAGGUCAAGGUUACAGUGACCUGAAACAUUUAAACCGUUUCCAGACAAUAACUUGAGAACGCUUGGGCAUAGAAUCAUGAAACUUGAUAGGGAGAUUGGUCAUGACCUGUAGAUGACCCAUAUAGAUUUUGAGAUCUGUAGGCUAAAGGCCAAGGUCAUAUUGACCCGGAACAGUUAAACCCUUUUCGGACGAUACCUUGUGAACGCUUGGGCCUAAGAUCACUAAACUUAAUAGGGAGGUUGAUCAUGACCAGCAGAUGACUCCUGUUGAUUUUGUGGUCAAUAUGUCAAAGGUCAAUGUCACAUUGAACCAGAACAGUAGAACUUUUGUUUACAGUGAGCAAAUAAUUUAUGUUCCUUGUGCAAUUACUGAAUGCAUCAAGGGUGGCAUUUCGUGUUCGACGAGCUCUUGUUUGAAUGUGUAAUGAGAGUAAUUCAUUUUAUUUAUUCAGUUAGUUUAUGCAGACUAAGCAGAUUUAUUUGCAGUGACCAGUCGUUUAGUCCCCGUUGUACACAAGCUUAAGUGCUUCUUUAAACAUGUUAAAUCAAUUGGUGAAUAUUGCCAUUAUUGGCAAGAAAAACAUGACUCGUACUGCUUUGUCUCCUAUGAAUAACUACAAAAUGAAGAUCUUUCCAAAAAAUAAACUUUAUUUAAGUUACAGAAUAACUCCAUGAUUGAUAUAAAACCAUCUCAAAGAAGGGUAAUCAUUGAAUUAAUUUUCGAAUCGAGAGCCGUCCGCCAUUUUGUUCCUAAUGUAAACUGAAAAAUGGCCUUGCGCAACGGCUAAUAAAAAAAUAUAUUCACUUUCGUAUAGAGGGGCCUGCUGAAGGGGAAAUUCGCUCACGGGAUAUACGGUUUUAUGUAACGUGCGUGUUAACCAAAGAAAAUCCGAGAAAUUCAUUUGCAGUAUUAUAAUGUACUUUGUCACAAUAUCCAAGGCUAUGUUCCCUAUAUUGCAGUUUUUAUAUGAAAAUGUUGUUGUGCCAACAGCCACACCAAGCGGUGCGAAAGUGAUGUGUUUAAUGGUACCCCCCUACAUAAUAAAGAUGAUAGAUUCUUCCUACCGAUGGUGUUGGCAAAACUACCUUCUAUGUUUGGUUUAAAAGAACUGAAGAAGUGUUAAUUUCCGCACAUUAAUAACCGGAAGGACAACUAAACGCAGAUAAUGAAGAGAUUACCGGAUUGCUCAUACUACAACCCUGAUGCAAUGAAGCCUGAAGAUAGAAAAAUGUUCUUUACAUGGUUCAGUGAACACAAGAACACCAAGUUUGACUUCCAAACAGAACUAGUCCGACGUUGAUAUACUGAGACGUUGUUCACAACGGGUUCCGGAAUUUUCACGACCAUAACUGGAAUGGACCCUUUUGAGCGAUGCAUUACGAUAGUGUCUGCCUGAAAUGUAGUGUUAAGAACAUUUUUACAACAGGAUUCUAUUGGUAUCAUGCCCCAUCACGGCUACAAACCGCAACAGUUACAGUCAGUCAAGGGGUUGCGGUGGAUCAGAUAUCUAUCACAGCUUCAAAGUCAUCGUAUUGAAGAUGCCAGAAAUAGAGGAGAAAAAGUGAUAGGGCCAUAUACGGUAGAUGGAUAUUACGAAACAGAAAGUGAGAGAAUAGUACUUGAGGUUCAUGGGGAUUUUUGGCAUCGAAAUCCAAACAAGUACGCUAGG